CAGCAGCCACGGUAAUAUGUAGGUGGCAAGCGUUGUCCGGAAUUAUUGGGCGUAAAGGGCUCGCAGGCGGUUUCUUAAGUCUGAUGUGAAAGCCCCCGGCUCAACCGGGGAGGGUCAUUGGAAACUGGGAAACUUGAGUGCAGAAGAGGAGAGUGGAAUUCCACGUGUAGCGGUGAAAUGCGUAGAGAUGUGGAGGAACACCAGUGGCGAAGGCGACUCUCUGGUCUGUAACUGACGCUGAGGAGCGAAAGCGUGGGGAGCGAACAGGAUUAGAUACCCGAGUAGUCCCUGUCUCUUAUAA
rnacentral:rRNA from 1 species